UACAGAGGUCUCGAGCGUUGUUCGGAUUCAUUGGGCGUAAAGGGCGCGUAGGCGGCGGGGUAAGUCUGGUGUGAAAUCUCGGAGCUCAACUCCGAAAUUGCACUGGAUACUGCUCUGCUAGAGGGCUGGAGAGGAGAUCGGAAUUCACGGUGUAGCAGUGAAAUGCGUAGAUAUCGUGAGGAAGACCAGUGGCGAAGGCGGAUCUCUGGACAGCUCCUGACGCUGAGGCGCGAAGGCUAGGGGAG
rnacentral:rRNA from 1 species